rnacentral:rRNA from 1 species
CCAGAGAAUUUAGCAGAGAUGCUUUAGUGCCUUCGGGAACUCUGAGACAGGUGCUGCAUGGCUGUCGUCAGCUCGUGUUGUGAAAUGUUGGGUUAAGUCCGCAACGAGCGCAACCCCUAUCCUUUGUUGCCAGCGAUUCGGUCGGGAACUCAAAGGAGACUGCCGGUGAUAAACCGGAGGAAGGUGGGGAUGACGUCAAGUCAUCAUGGCCCUUACGAGUAGGGCUACACACGUGCUACAAUGGCGCAUACAAAGAGAAGCGACCUCGCGAGAGCAAGCGGACCUCAUAAAGUGCGUCGUAGUCCGGAUUGGAGUCUGCAACUCGACUCCAUGAAGUCGGAAUCGCUAGUAAUCGUAGAUCAGAAUGCUACGGUGAAUACGUUCCCGGGCCUUGUACACACCGCCCGUCACACCAUGGGAGUGGGUUGCAAAAGAAGUAGAUAGCUUAACCUUCGGGAGGGCGUUUACCACUUUGUGAUUCAUGACUGGGGUGAAGUCGUAACAAGGUAGGCGUAGCGAG